GUGAUAAUUGAAUUUAACGGCCGCGGUAGCAUGACCGUGCUAAGGUAGCAUAAUCAUUUGUCCUUUAAUUGAGGACUGGUAUAAACGGCUGCACAAGAAAUUGUCUGUCUCUACUAUAAAAUUUGAAAUUCACAUUUAAGUGAAAAGGCUUAAAUGGAAUAGGGGGACGAUAAGACCCUAUAAAUCUUUACAAUUAGGGCUUUAGUUAUUAGAAAGUAGUUAUGGAUCUAAAUCUAAGGUCUAAAUUGUUUUGUUGGGGCGACAGAAGUAUAAUAAGUAACUGCUUUGGUUUUCAUAUUAAUUGUUUUUAUUAUGGUUAGUUUAAAAGAUCCUCUUUUGGAGAUCACAGACUAAGUUACUUUAGGGAUAACAGCGUAAUCUUUCUUGAGAGUUCAUAUCGAAAGAAGGGUUUGCGACCUCGAUGUUGAAUUAAAGAACCUUUAUGGUGUAGCCGC
rnacentral:rRNA from 1 species